UGGGGAAUUUUGGACAAUGGGGGAAACCCUGAUCCAGCCAUCCCGCGUGUGCGAUGAAGGCCUUCGGGUUGUAAAGCACUUUUGGCAGGAAAGAAACGUCGUGGGUUAAUACCCCGCGAAACUGACGGUACCUGCAGAAUAAGCACCGGCUAACUACGUGCCAGCAGCCGCGGUAAUACGUAGGGUGCAAGCGUUAAUCGGAAUUACUGGGCGUAAAGCGUGCGCAGGCGGUUCGGAAAGGAAGAUGUGAAAUCCCAGAGCUUAACUUUGGAACUGCAUUUUUAACUACCGGGCUAGAGUGUGUCAGAGGGAGGUGGAAUUCCGCGUGUAGCAGUGAAAUGCGUAGAUAUGCGGAGGAACACCGAUGGCGAAGGCAGCCUCCUGGGAUAACACUGACGCUCAUGCACGAAAGCGUGGGGAGCAAACAGGAUUAGAUACCCUGGUAGUCCACGCCCUAAACGAUGUCAACUAGCUGUUGGGGUCUUCGGACCUUGGUAGCGCAGCUAACGCGUGAAGUUGACCGCCUGGGGAGUACGGUCGCAAGAUU
rnacentral:rRNA from 1 species